GAUGAACGCUGGCGGCGUGCCUAAUACAUGCAAGUCGAGCGAGUGGAUUAAGAGCUUGCUCUUAUGAAGUUAGCGGCGGACGGGUGAGUAACACGUGGGUAACCUGCCCAUAAGACUGGGAUAACUCCGGGAAACCGGGGCUAAUACCGGAUAACAUUUUGAACCGCAUGGUUCGAAAUUGAAAGGCGGCUUCGGCUGUCACUUAUGGAUGGACCCGCGUCGCAUUAGCUAGUUGGUGAGGUAACGGCUCACCAAGGCAACGAUGCGUAGCCGACCUGAGAGGGUGAUCGGCCACACUGGGACUGAGACACGGCCCAGACUCCUACGGGAGGCAGCAGUAGGGAAUCUUCCGCAAUAGACGAAAGUCUGACGGAGCAACGCCGCGUGAGUGAUCAAGGCUUUCGGGUCGUAAAACUCUGUUGUUAGGGAAGAACAAGUGCUAGUUGAAUAAGCUGGCACCUUGACGGUACCUAACCAGAAAGCCACGGCUAACUACGUGCCAGCAGCCGCGUAA
rnacentral:rRNA from 1 species